rnacentral:rRNA from 1 species
CCUACGGGCGGCAGCAGUGGGGAAUAUUGGACAAUGGGGGCAACCCUGAUCCAGCCAUGCCGCGUGUGUGAAGAAGGCCCUCGGGUUGUAAAGCACUUUCAGUGAGGAAGAACGCCUGGUGGUUAAUACCCAUCAGGAAAGACAUCACUCACAGAAGAAGCACCGGCUAACUCCGUGCCAGCAGCCGCGGUAAUACGGAGGAUGCGAGCGUUAAUCGGAAUUACUGGGCGUAAAGCGCGCGUAGGUGGCUUGAUAAGCCGGUUGUGAAAGCCCCGGGCUCAACCUGGGAACGGCAUCCGGAACUGUCAAGCUAGAGUGCAGGAGAGGAAGGUAGAAUUCCCGGUGUAGCGGUGAAAUGCGUAGAGAUCGGGAGGAAUACCAGUGGCGAAGGCGGCCUUCUGGACUGACACUGACACUGAGGUGCGAAAGCGUGGGUAGCAAACAGGAUUAGAUACCCGGGUAGUC